CCCUUAGAUGUCCUGGGCUGCACGCGCGCUACACUGAUGUGUCCAGUAAGCACCUAACCUCUUCCGAAAGGAACGGGUAACCUUUGCAAAGCACAUCGUGAUGGGGAUAGAUUAUUGCAAUUAUUAGUCUUGAACGAGGAAUUCCUAGUAAGCACAAGUCAUCAGCUUGUGUUGAUUACGUCCCUGCCCUUUGUACACACCGCCCGUCGCUCCUACCGAUUGAAUGUGCCAGUGAAAAGUUCGGAUUGGAGAUAGGAAACGGCAACGUAUCCUAUUUCCGAGAAAAUCUUUAAACUUUCCCAUUUAGAGGAAGGAGAAGUCGUAACA
rnacentral:rRNA from 1 species